GUUUAGCCCUGAUUGCAGUGGCAUCCUUUUUUAUUUAUGUUCGGGUGAAUUUUGAAGAAUGAAAAAUUUGUAUCGAGAACAGAAAUAAAAAAGAUAUAACGAAAAGCAGGAAAUAGC
rnacentral:sRNA from 1 species